rnacentral:rRNA from 1 species
AUGGGCUCCCGCGGCGACGACGAGGAGCAGCCGGCUGCCGUGCCCCUCCUAGCGGCGGCCUACCCAACUCCGAGCGGCCUGAGACGGAGCCACGCCGGCGACGUUCACCUCCUGUCGGCCGCCUUCCUCUUCGUCUUCUCCGCCUACCUCCCCACGCAGAACCUGCAGAGCACACUCAACACCGAGGGCAACCUGGGCGCCGUGUCCAUGGGGAUCCUGUACGCCUCCUUCACCGUGUUCACGGCGACGGCGGCGGCCGUGGUGCGGCGGCUGGGGUCGAGGGGCGCGCUCGUCGUCUGCACCAGCGGCUACGCGCUCUUCAUCCUCGCCAACCUCCUCCCAACGUGGUACACGAUGGUGCCGGCUUCAGUCUACCUGGGUUUUACUUCAUCCCUCAUGUGGGUUGGCCAGGGCACAUAUCUCACGUCUGUGGCCUUCAGCCAUGCGACAGAGAACAAGCUUCACUUGGGCCAAGUUUUGGGUCGAUUCAACGGAGAAUUCUGGGGAAUGUUUGCAAGCACGCAGGUCAUUGGAAAUUUGAUCUCGCUCGUCGUGCUGGGGAAUGACAAGGAUGGAGGAGGUGCCAACAAGAACCUCUUGUUCACUGUAUUCCUCGGCUGCAUGGUCGUCGGCAUCGUGCCCAUGUGCCUGCUCUCCAGAAGAGAUAAGAGCAGAGGAGAAUCAGACGGCCAUGAACCCCAAGGGCGUUCCUUUCUCGCUGACACGUCGACGUCUGCCGUCACGCCGCUCGCUGACCCGAGGAUGCUCCUCCUCGCUCCUCUCCUCGCCUACUACGGCCUGCAAAAGGCAUUUGUAUGGGCUGUGUUCACCAAGAGUGUCGUGACCCCCGUUCUCGGGGUCGCCGGAGUCGGCGGGGCGAUGGCAGUCUACGGCGCGGCCGGUGUCGUCAGCUCGCUGGUCGCCGGCCGUCUGACCUCCGGCCUCCGUUCGUCCACCUUCAUUGUGUCAACCGGAGCUGUUCUCCAGGCCGGGGUGCUGCUCUGGCUGCUCUUUUUCUACAGUCCCAUGCUCGGGUCAGCAGCUCCGCUGGUCGUCGGCGACGUAUGGGGCGUCGGAGAUGGGAUUCUGAACACGCAGUUGAGUGCGUUGAUCGGGCUUCUCUUCGAGAACGACAAGAAGGAAAAACCCUCACUGAGAUCUUUCGGUGGCCACCGCAGUUAG